CUCAAACAGAGACUUGAGUAGGAGGGAAGGAAGUAAAGAAGAAAGAUGAGGUGACAUAAAAGGAUCACGUCACAGGACAGAGAUGCAGCUCUGAGUUCAGUGGAUCGGUAAAUAACAUACACUUGGACAAGUUCACUCUGUCAGCCCAGCAUCCUUCAGAGGCGCUCUUGUGCGUCACUGUGAGAGUCUGGAAAGUAUUAAGGCCGGCAGUCACUGAUCUCCAACAACAAAGAGGUGGACCAACGAUAGAGGAUGUUGCAAGCAUCGCUAAAAUGUUGGCUAAAUUGCUUCCGGCAUUGAGCGAGGGAAAUAUUACACUGCUGUUUGCCUCCUAUCUUCUCCCCAAAGCCAAAAGAGGCUAAAGGACCUUCAAAUGAGCUCUUCAGUCUUUUAUGGCUCCGCGGAUUAAGACUCCCGGGACAAAUGAAGAGUACAUAUCUGUUGGCUGCAGGCCACAUGUGUCGACCAGCCGGAUCUGUUCUGCUUUUCAGCGGUUUUUUUUUUCUGUUGAGAAUAAGGACGGCUUUUGUCACAGCUGGGUGCUUUGCUUUCAUUUGUCAUACUUUGUGAUGAAAUACAAUGAAAAACACUGUGAAUAAACUGUAUUUAUUACAAGCUAUGGUUAAAUAUGUGCAGCAGUGGGAAGUAAAAAUUCAAGAAAGGCUAAUUUAUAAAAUAGUUUUUAGGGUCUUGCAACAUUUCAGCUUUGAAUCCACCUCCAGAAAUGUUUAGUUUAGUUUCUUUGUUUUGCUUUUUUAAAUUCAUACUGUGGUUACAUGAAGCUUUUAAGCAUGUUGCACUUGGCUCCACCUCAAGCAGUGAUGACCCAGCAUGUGUUUUCCAUCAGAAAUCCAAAGCAGAUAUAUACCUGCUGAUAUAAUACCUGCUCUGACAUUGGUUUAGUGCAACAGCACUUUUCUGGCUUUAUGAAUGAUUUCAAAGUGUUGAAUGUAAAAAGACUUCAAAUAAAAGUCACUGCAGGUGUUGAGAUGAGAUUUAUGCUGUUUUUACCUUUUCAAGGGAGAAAAAUAACCUUCUUUAAUUUCUUAGCUUUCACUGUAAUAAAUAUGUAAUCAAAUCCAAAAACUGCGCGUGUUUAAAAUUAAGAUUGAAC